rnacentral:rRNA from 1 species
UACGGAGGGUGCAAGCGUUGUCCGGAUUUAUUGGGUUUAAAGGGUGCGUAGGCGGCUCUGUAAGUCAGCGUUGAAAUAUGGCAGCUUAACUGUCAGACUGGCAUUGAUACUGCAGGGCUUGAGUGAAGUCGAGGUUGGCGGAAUUGACGGUGUAGCGGUGAAAUGCAUAGAUAUCGAGAGGAACACCUGCGGCGAAGGCGGGUUGCUGGGCUGAUACUGACGCUGAGGCGCGAAAGCCAGGGGAGCGAACGGG